rnacentral:lncRNA from 1 species
GGUUGCUGGGUCUUCCAGGAUCGCGCAUUAGCGGACGCUGGCUACGGGUGGCCGGGCGGGAUGUAACCGGCUGCUGAGCUGGCAGUUCUGUGUCCCCAGGCUUCGGCCCGGCCGCCGCCGCACAUAAACUGCGAGGAGGAGCUUUACGACUUCUCGGUCUUCGGGGCCGGGCGCAGCAAGGGCCAGACUCUGCGCUAGCAGGCGCUGCGCGCCAACCGGCCGGCCCCUGUCGCAGAAGGUGCAACCGAUCGCACUGUCGCGCAGAAGCUCCUCAAUGGCCAGCGCCAGCUGCAGCCCCGGCUGCCCACUCGCCUCACCUGAGCCUGGGUGGAACAAUCCAAAGUUUUAAUCAAAGAAGGUGGUAUUCAGUUGCUGCUUACAAUAGUUGAUACCCCAGGAUUUGGAGAUGCAGUGGAUAAUAGUAAUUGCUGGCAGCCUGUUAUCAAUUACAUUGAUAGUAAAUUUGAGGACUACCUAAAUGCAGAAUCGCAAGUGAACAGAUGUCAGAUGCCUGGUAACAGGGUGCACUGUUGUUUAUACUUCAUUGCUCCUUCAGGACAUGGACCGUUACAUAACUGAAGACUCCCACCUUCAGGCAGGAUUGGGUAGUACAUGUUUGUAACUACCUGGCAUUGCCUUUUGUUGAGACUUAAACCAUUGGAUAUUGAGUUUACAAAGCAUUUGCAUGAAAAAGUGAAUAUCAUCCCACUUAUUGCCAAAGCAGACACACUCAUGCCAGAGGAAUGCCAACAGUUUAAAAAACAGAUAAAGAAAUCCAAGAACAUAAAGUUAAAAUAUAUGAAUUUCCAGAAACAGAUGAUGAAGAAGAAAAAAAACUUGUUAAAAAGAUAAAGGACCAUUUACCUCUUGCUGUGGUGGGUAGUAAUACUAUCAUUGAAGUUAAUGGCAAAAGGGUCAUAGGAAGGCAGUAUCCUUGGAGUGUUGCUGAAGUUGAAAAUGGUGAACAUUGUGAUUUUACAGUUUUAAGAAAUAUGUUGAUAAGAACACACGCAGGACUUGAAAGAUGUUACUAAUAAUGUCCACUACGAGAACUAUGGAAUCAGAAAACUGGCAGCUGUGACUUAUCAUGGAGUUGAUAACAAGAAGAAUAAAGGGCAGCUCACUAAGAGCCCUCUGGCACAAAUGGAAGAAGAAAGAAGGGAGCAAGUAGCUAAAAUUAAGAAGAUGGAGAUGGAGAUGGAGCAGGUGUUUGAGAUGAAGGUCAAAGAAAAAGUUCAAAAACUGAAGGACUCUGAAGCUGAGGUACAGCGGACCUUCCUGGCAUCAGAAAAAGGCCUCCAGAAAAAGAGACACAGGUACUAGCAAUUCCAAAUUAUCCAGAGCCCUUCUAAGUUGUAAGAUCUGAAAGAAAUGUCUGCCAUCUAUAUUCUCAGCCACACUUAGUUUCUUAAUCUGCAAGAUGGAAUUAAUAAUAGUACUUACUUUA